GUGCGUGUAACAUCACUUCUUCACGCAGUGUCAUAGGAAAGUGGGUUCCUGGACCCCAGGUUAAGAGCCUAAGCACUAAAGGCACAGAGCUAGAGCUCUAGGAGGGGAGGGAUGGCUGGGGUGGAACCUCGUCUUGUCAUUUAGUCCUGGGGCCUUUUCACUCCUUACAUGGUGGGUGGUGGGCGUCUGGCAGGUGCCGAUGUUGAUGGAGUCAAGGGAGGGAACUAGCCGGGACAGGGAAAAACAGGGUUGGAGAGAUAAUUAAGGUGGACGUUAUUUUUUCUGAGCGUAAGUCGUGGCUGGAAAUCUGGAGAGCCUGAAAGAGUAUCCCCCUACCCAAACCUGUUUUUUCCUUUUCCCUCAAGCCUCAUUUGGCCACAGGCCCAGUGUCAACACCAGGGGGCGCCACAGACCAUGAAGGCACCGUGCAGCUGGGAUUGUUUGUGGUCGGCUACUGGGUCCCUGACUUAACCAGGGGAGCCAAGACCCUGUAGCCAAGUGGCCUGGAUUCAACCUGCAGCUCAGGUCUUACUGACACUUCUCCCCCUGGUGCCUCAGUUUCUUAAUCUGUGAAAUGGUGAGGACAUUACAGCAUUUACCUCUGGGGCGGGUUUCUCAACAGCAGCACUAUUAACAAUUUGGGACAGAGAAUCUUGUGGAGUGGUCUGUCCUGUGCAUUGUGGGAGGUUUGCCAGCAACACCCCACUCACCCCCUCCCACCAAUCCCCAUGUGACAACCGAAAAUGUCCCAGGAUUUUUAGGUCUCCCUUGGGUCUAGAAGCUGCACUUAGGCAUUUUCCCACCUGACACUUGAGUUCAUCUCUGCUUUGGUCCACAUAAGGCCACUUUAAAAAAAUGUUGUUUCUUUAAAGAUUCUAACCAUCUUUUAAACAAAUCCAUUUUCUUCCUCUAUUUCUGCAUUCAGUUAAUCCUUCCAAACCCUUUGUUUAGUAUAUCUUGAAAUGUAUCAAUUCCUGUUCUAGUAAUUAACAUAUGUGACUUGCAUGAUAUCUGCUAUGACCCUUAGUAGAGCUCUGAUUCCUUUAGCACAGGGAAUGUGUUCUCGAUUCUGCUCUGGAUGAUGUAAAUCAAUUUAUUUUACUUUACUUGUCUGGGAUGUUGCUCCUCAUCUGUAAGAUGUAAAUGUGGAUAUGGCUUGGAUUACUAAGUGGUUUUAUUUCUUAAUUCACCUGACAUUUGUUGUGUGCCUGCUGCAAGUCAAAUACAUGGCAUGGUAUUGUUUCCUUGUUCACACCACAGCAAAUGAGAAAAUGAGACAUUAUAGCCAGGUGUGGCGGCACAGGCUUGUGGUCCUAGCUACUCGGAAGGCUGAGGCAGGAGAAUUGCUCCAGCCCAGGAGUUUGAGGUUACAGUAAGGUAUGAUAUCACCAUUGCAUUUCAACCUGGGCAACAGACCCUGUCUCUGAAAAAAGGGAAAAAGACCUUGUGAGCUGUCUACGUGUACUCUAUGUCUCAGGAGACUCAUAUCCUGUAAUUUUUCUAAAUGGCGUCUCCAUGUGGUCUUUCAUGAAUGUUUGUCUGGUAUUCUCUAUCCUUUUACUUUCAACUUUUCUUUACCUUCUACUGAAAUUAUGUCUUUUGUAAACAGCCCAUGAUUAUUUAUUUAGUUAUUUAUUUUUACCCCCCUGCACUAUUUGUCUUGUAAUUGGAGUGUCUGAGUCCAUUAUGUUUAAUGUAAUUAUUGACCUCAUUGGGUUUAAGUCUGUCCAUUGUCAUUUGCUGCCUUCUAAUAUUAUCUCUUUCUUGCUCAACUAUUUUUCUUAUGUUACCUUCUUUAGAUGAAUAAAAACCUUUGCAUUAU
rnacentral:lncRNA from 10 species